rnacentral:rRNA from 1 species
CCUACGGGAGACAGCAGUGGGGAAUCUUGGACAAUGGGGGGAACCCUGAUCCAGCGACGCCGCGUGAGUGAAGAAGUAUUUCGGUAUGUAAAGCUCUAUCAGCAGGGAAGAAAGAAAUGACGGUACCUGACUAAGAAGCCCCGGCUAACUACGUGCCAGCAGCCGCCGUAAUACGGAGGGGGCAAGCGUUAUCCGGAUUUACUGGGUGUAAAGGGAGCGUAGACGGCGAUGCAAGUCUGAAGUGAAAGGCGGGGGCCCAACCCCCGGACUGCUUUGGAAACUGUAUGGCUGGAGUGCAGGAGAGGUAAGUGGAAUGCCUAGUGUAGCGGUGAAAUGCGUAGAUAUUAGGAGGAACACCAGUGGCGAAGGCGGCUUACUGGACUGUAACUGACGUUGAGGCUCGAAAGCGUGGGGAGCAAACAGGAUUAGAUACCCCAGUAGUC